ensembl:lncRNA
CCACCUGCCCCCAAUUUCUGUCAUCAGGAACAAACAAGAAAAUGAAGUCAUUUGCUGUUUGGGGGUUUGAAAUAGUAAAUGCCCUUACCUGAAAGUGCACAAGAACGAUGGCUGCCUUAUUCUGGUCUGCAGUGAAAAACAAGCCUAAAACUGAAACUUCCAACAAGAACCAGGAAUAGAAUCCACUCCAUCACAUUACAUGACCUGUAACAGGCAGGAACAAAGACUCGCACCCCCAGCGAAGUCCCAUUCCUGGUGGACUGCCGCUCACGGGCCCACAACAGCCUUGGCGGCCCUUUUUUCUUUAAAGACGCGCCAUCCUCUUCCCUAUUCCGAGAGGAGAGAACCCAGCACGCCCCAGCAAAGAACACAGAGGAGCCAGUUCUCCAGCAAAGAGACAGGAACAGGCUUUAAUCAGACGAAGAAUCAGUACACCCGUUAAGACAAAUUCUGUUUGCCUCUUUUUUUUUUUGGAAAUUCCUUCACAUACCAGCAGGGAAGAACAGUUUUCCUCAGGAAAUUAAAGCCGUGUGCAAGCCAGUGCUUCACUUUUGUGUUCUCGACGCACCCCCCCCGACUCCUGUGACUAUUUACAUUACAGUACCUCUUUGUGAUCAAACGGGGAGGCCAGGAGAGCAGUGCGCGUUUGUAUCACAGACGUGUGUGCCCAAGUUGAGAAAGGCAGAUCUGAUUAUUUAUAGAUUUGUACAUUAUACAUACAUAUACUGUACAUACAUACAUAUAUAUAUAGAUUUGUUUGUGUGUGUGUGUAUACACAGAUACAUUGCUCUCUUCUUUGAAGUAUUAAAAAAUUGAUCAAGCCUUCAAUCUAUAAAAAAUACCUAACUCUACAAGGUAGAAAACGAAAAACUUUCCCUCACCCAGUGUACACUGUUUUACACCCCCCCCCCAUUCCUCUUGAAAAUGUACAGUACAUGGAUCCUUUCUCCAAGCUGGAGGGGCAGGGGAGAGGCAGGCAGAAGUGCUGAAUUUGGAAGGAUGUUAUGGGUUUUGCCCAGUGAAAGAGCAGUUCCUUGCACAGGAAUCCCUCUGUUUCUAUUCCCUGCACUGGAAACCAACUUAGAAACGGCAAAAGCAGAAACCGAUAAAUUACAAUUUAAAAAAAUAUAUGUAUUUCCAACCUAACUCUGGCCCCGGUGUUGCCCAACCCUCUUUUGUAAGAUCAGACAAAUGCCACCCAUCUUAACCAUCACUUCGGAUCAGAGGUGUUCCAUUUUGUGCAUUUUCAAUUUUUUAAAAAAGCUUGCCGAGGCUUCACGGCAUUUGAGGGGUCUUGGAACUCAACCACUUGGUGCUAUCAAGGAAGAGGGGAGGCGAUCCUGCUUCUCUUUAAUGACGAGGUGCACUGGCGCUUCCUGAAGGCAUGAGAGAAGCCGUCACAUUUCUUAUGCUUAGAUGUAGUGUGGUUGUUUCAUAGGAGCUUCGAAAGGAGGGAAGGGAAAAGAGGUCCUUUCCUCACUUUAAGAGAUAGAAGAGGCAGCCACAAGCAGCUCAGACGGCCUGCUCCCUGCCAGAGUCAAAGCUUUCUUUGGAGUUCCAGUUACACCCUUUGGAGCUUCCUCCUCCUCAUAUAGCAGCAGGCACCAUCCAAUAUAGGUCUCCACGCCACUUUCCCUUUACCUAGUUGUGCCGUUAAGGAGAGAAGCCCCAGAAAAAAAGGAGGGCUUAAAACCAAUCCUCAAGGCCAAGAAAAAUCCCUCCAGUGGAAAAAGGGCACCUUUUAGUAAGGCGGAAAACAAUAUUUUCCCAAAAAAUGUGGGAUGGAUGGGUGAGAAAACAGACCCUUCCCCAGAUUGCCUAGUGAUCUGGUUCUUUUUAGCCUGGUGAUAGGGGGAGAAAAGCAGGAACAAGAAGCAUUGCUCACUUCCUUCUUAAACACAUACAAAUUCAGUGAGUGGUCCAAUUAUGCUAAGUACAGUAUAAUUCACCUUCCCCCCCUUUUUUAUGGCAGGGAGAAGCUUGACAUUUAAUUCUGACAUUAAUAGCACAUAGUCAAGAGGGCCUUCUUCUACCAUGUCAGCAUCAAUUCUGUCUUUAAUUUCUCCCCUUGAGAUCUACGGUCUCCAGUUGUCGUUGUUUUUUAAUUAGGUCAGUAUAUUCGUCAUUCCCACCCCAAAGUGACCCAAACAGGUGAGAAAAUAAAAGACGUGCAAUUCAAGUAAGAAAAGGUGUG